rnacentral:lncRNA from 1 species
UUUUUUUUCUUUUGACCUUUAAGAGAUCUGGAAAUACAUCCUGUGUAGCAGUCAUUUAACACAGACAGAUUUAAGUCUGAAAGCGUUAACUUUUGGAAUUAAACACUAAUUUUGAUUUCUUUAACAAACGCAGAAAUGAAAUGACAUUAUUUUAUUCUCUUCUGAACAGUUUUAGGGCUGAGCAUAAUCAGUUGCCUUGCAGUGGUGUGUGUGUUUCCUUUUCUAUUAAAAAAUUUUUUUAAAUCCGUGAGCCCCCAGAGAGAAAUGCAAAAAUGAAAAAUUCAGGCUUCCAUUUCAAAAAUAUUAAAUUCUAGCAUUUCAUCCCUGCAAAGAACCUUCUCCAUACCAAGGUUACAUGGAGUAGAGUGAGUUGAGUCAAAAGGUACAUGUUAAGGGGUUGCUACUGUUUCAUCUUGCAUCUUACUAUUUUGGUGGUGAUUGAGGGAAGGGAUGUGAAAAAAGAGAAGGAAAGGGACAUGGCGACAUUUUGUUCUUUAUAAGAGAUUGAUAUUGAGGGGGCCAGAAAGGCAAGAGGACAGGAUAAGCAGGAAAUAUUACCUGAGAGAAGGAAUUACAGAGCAUGGCGAUGCUGGAAGCUAGGAAGGCUUCUGCGGGAAGUUGUGCGAGGGGGAGAUAGGGGAUUGCUCUCUGGCGCCCUCUAAUGGCAAUUUGAACCCAUAUUUUUACUUUCUCAAUUCAGUACUGGGAAAAGCAGCUGGGUUUUUGUUGUUGCUUUUGGUUUUUUCCUCCACAGACUUAGAAACUAGAGACUAUUAGCGGAGUAAAUUGAUUGUUUUCAACCCCGAAACUUAUGUAUAUGCCUUAAAAUUAUCAAUGGUUUUUCUUCAAACAUUCCUGUUCUCCUGAAAUUCGUUAGAGUAAUAGAAGUAAGGCUAAUGGCAAAUUGAUUUAUAGAGGAUGGCCCAUGCCCAAUUAGUAAUUUGGGGAAAGGGAUUCCUUUCCCACCUGAACAGCAUUCUGACUCUUCUAAUAUACUCGAGAGGUGUGGCGGGGUGGAGUGGGGAGGGAUGAUUUGGAAAUUGCAGAUUCUGACACUGGCUCAUUAUAAUACAAUUUAAAGGGGGCUCUUAGGAACCUCUGUUAUUUCGACAUGUGGUGGUAAGGGGGCUUUACUUCCCGCCUCCUUUCUCUUUUUUUCUUUUUCUUCUUUCUUUCGUUCUUUUUUUUUUUUUAAAUUUGGUAGAUAAAGGUUAAUCUUGGGCUGAAUGAUAGAGCUAUGAUUGACAAGAGAAAAGGUGUUGAGGGCAGGUCGCGCUGUCUUAUUUACAGCCCACUGCUUGCUGUAGAGUCUUUGUUAGGACUGGAAAGCUAAUUUAGUGCUGAUCAAAAGCACCACAGAGUUAAAGGACUGGUAAUGACUGCUAAUUUCAUUUCAGCCUCAUGCAUCCCCAACUGCUGUAAUUAAAGACAUGCUAUUUAAAUACAGGUGAAGGGUGUUUUUUUUUUUUUUUUAAGUUAGGGUGGGGGUGAGUGGAUUACAAUUUUAUGUAGAUUUCAUCUUAUACUUGGGUAUUAUGUAGUCCAGCAUUAAAAAAAAUUUUUGUAGAGUCGCUUCUUGUCAUUUAUACCUGGCUUUGCAGAAUACGCAAUGUGAAACGUGUCAAUCACAUAAAAGUCUCUGUUUAAAGAAAGAAAGGGGGGAAAGGGAUGCAGAGGAGUAACUGUUUGGGGGGAUUUAAAUAUUUGGGUCUCUUUUUUUUUUUUUCCCCUUCAAAUUAAUAGAAAGACCUUCGAAAUAGCUAAGGUAUUUGAAACUUGGGGCAGGGUGAACAGGCCAAAGAGAUCAAUGUCAGCUUUUUAAGUACUUCUAAAAAGAUCAUGUGAACAGAUGGAAAAAUAUAUUUUUAAUUAAAUAAUUUCCCUCACACUGUAGCUGCAGUGUUGGCUCAGAAACCAUGUAAUUCCUCAACCGAUAGGAGUUUCUUUAUGAGAACAUCAAAGGAUAAAAAGCUCUACAUUUUCGUAGUUGGUUAAAAUUGAUACCCCCCCACACACACACGCACACGCACGCACACACACUUGCACACACCCCAAAAAAGAAUUUAGCCUUUAAUCUCUUUUUAUCCAAGAAGACUAAAGCUCUGUACUCGACCCCGCAAGCGGCUCUCGCCUUCCGGGGCUGGAACCCGGCUCAGAUGUGAAGCGACGCUGAGCCGCCGCGCAGGUUCGUGCCCAGCGCCCCCUGUUGGACUCAGUAGGAGCUGCGCAGCGCCAGUCCUAGAAAUAGCUAGAACUUUGCUCUGGGGUUAAAUAAAACUCUUUAUUACCCUCCAAAAAAGAGAUAGGGUAAAGAAGCAAAUUGUUAUAUCCUUAAAAGAUAAUAUAAGUUUAAUUCAAUAAAAAGUUAAAAGGAGAUAACACAAUUUUAAUUCAGUAAAAAAUAAAGAAGUCUCUAUUCCACCUCCUCAUAUCCUGGCAGCCAUCCAUCUACCCCCCCAUUCAGUGAUAGUAAAACAGGCAAAAGAGGCGUGAUUUUAAGAGAAAGAGAAAGAAAAUUUUCCUCUGUAGCAGUGGAGAACCAAACAAAAGUUUUUUCUCCCGUUCUGUCCAGAUUUGGAAAAAUAAAAUGGAAGAUGGGGCUGCGUGCUGUUUUGACGUUGUCAGCAGCAUCUUGAAUGCCCUCAGAAAUCCUUCAAGUAGAGUAACUGAGUCUCUGAGUAAACGAAACAACUUGAUCCUUUUAAAAUUUAUUUUCAGAGUGUAAUUAAAAGGCCGGUUUCUUCUUUAAAUGUUUCCCAUCCCUCAAACCAAUUUGAUCAAACUUUUCCUUCCCUGGCUAGCGAUUAAAUUCCAGAUAUCUGAAAUUUCUUAAACAGUAUCUAGUACCUGACAUACACACCCUCUUUUUUUCUGAGCCAUAGGAUUUCAGGAAAGGAGUGUCAAUGGUAAAAAAAUUUUAAAAAAAAGUAUUCUCUUUUGAAAUUCAGCAUUUUCAUUGAUCAGGAAUCCAAAUUAUCCUAGGGGUAGAGGAGCAUUUUUACACUUUCAAAAACUACCUGUCUACAUAUGAAAGAGCUUUGGCUUUUUCUUUGGUCAGCGAGUGAGGGCAAAAGUACACUUUGAAUUCGUUCAGAAAGGCAAUUAUAAAAAUGACACAUCCACUAAAUUUAAAACAGUGGGAAAAUAGGGGUUUGUUUAUGUGCUUAAAAUCAGACUGAAACAAUAUGUGUGCUAAAUGAACACAUGAUCUCAACAAGGUGUUAUGAUUUCUAUCUUGAGGAAUGUACUUACAAUUUUAACUUUUAUAUAAAAACCUUAAGAAGUUGAGAGCUUGCUUAUUGUUUUUUAAAGUUUGCCUACUGAAGAAAACUAGCUUAAUUUUCAUAGCAGAAUUACUUUUUAAAAUGUAUAACACUGUGGCUACCGAAAUUGUUUUUAAUGUUGAUCUUCCCCACCUCCCACAGUCAUCGGACCUGAGAUUGUGUUUUCAAGGAAGUUUCUAUUUGGUAAGAUGAGAGACGCUUUCUCCAUCUGAUUCCAGAAUCGAGUCUCAGCUUAAGCUUCUCAAUAAAUGAGUUUGGAUACAGUGGUAGGAAGAGAAUUAAGGCAUUUAAUCAUUUUUUACCUGGAAUUCUAUCCAAAUGAUGGGCAAACAGGAUUCCCUGCUACAGACAACCGUUCCCCUACCCUUUGCUUCACCAAAGAUGAUUGCCCAUUACACAAAUAUUAAGUCCUGGCCAAGUUUGGUGCCAACCCUGUUAAGGUAACAGUGUUUCUGACAAACACGGUCCAAGACUGCCUGCAGCAUGGGGAGGCCAAAGCCAGCAGAAUCUUGGAGGCAACCAGGUAAAGGAGAUAUACUUGCUUGCUGUUCGGAAGUGAUGUAGAAUUUGCAAAAGCAGAGGCCAGAGGUUUCAUACCGUCUUCUUCCCCAGGCGGUCCGGCCUGUAUGGAGGGGGCAAGGGGAGGAGCCUGCACCUGGCUGCGGGAAGAAGGCAGGCAGUGAGCCUCCAAAUUCCCAGGGCCCAAGGAGAAAGCACAACCCCUAGUUUAGAAAAAAAGAACUGAACAAGUGGGUGGCCUAGGUCUGGAAAUACCACCCAGCUCUCCCAGCACAAAGUCAUUUCUGUGGUUUCAGGCAGCCUCAGCCCCUGCUGGAAACUCACGCCCCUCUUUGGCCAGCAGGAAGGCAGCCCUUCCACCUUGGGGGCUGGGGAGGGGGCAGCGAGUGACUGACUCCUUAGUAGCAGGCAAAGCUGCAACGCUGGCAACCUGCCGAGUUUCCUCCGCAGCAGCGAAGCGCCCUUUAGGGGCGGGGCGGGCAUUUUUGGUUUCUUUACCAGCUUCCAUGCCUGAGCCCACAACUGUUGGUUGAGCUCCCUGCUUUGUAAGUAGUCAGUCUUGCCCAGUUCUGAGGGCGAUCCAGGAGGAUGAGCCAGCCUGGCUUUGGAUCCAUUGAGCGCUAUGUCUUCAGCCCCUCUCCCUACCAUUCCCUCACACCUUUCCUGGUGAACCCAAGCCUCACUCUGAAAGCCAGUAUGUAGGGCUUUGAGUUUGGGAGCUAUUUGGAAGAGGAGAAAAUCGUUGAUUAUUAAAACCAAGAUUCAAGGAUAAACUCUCAAUUAUUAUUAUUUGCCCUUUUACAUUAUCUUUAAACUUUGAAGAUCCUCUAGUCCCAUUGAUCCAACCCUGAAACAGACAAGGCAUCAGGGAGAAAGCCUAGCCUAGCUUGAAGGAGCUGGGGUAUAGACAGAUACUCAUCUCUCCACCAUUCAGCAGGCAGAUAAGCACUUCUAGGCUGUGGGUCCUAAUCCAGGGCACAGCUGCUAUGUGGGUUGCUGAAGGGUGUUGAAACUACAAGUACAACUUGACACCAUUGAGCCCACAGUGCUUGUCAAUAAUCUGUGAAUUAGGUGCAGAGAUUGUCACUGUAGAUCAUAACAGUUUCUGGAGGACUCAUUACAGCCUAUCGUGUAAAUGAUCUUCAAAUUAAGGGGGGGAGGGGAAAGGAGUAGGGAGAGCCUACAAAAAGGGAAGAAGGGUGGGAGGGGAGAUAAAAGUCAGAGCCUCAGCUCCUUAGGAGCCUUUAAAGAUUAUCAGGCUAGCGAUCUGAGAAUUCCACUGGGAUGGGUUUGGAAGGCCAACUCUGUCUGAGCCGGGGCUGCAAAGGGGGCACUAGGGGUUGAGCAGAAGUGGGCCCCUGGGAAGGCAGACUUCUCAGACAUGUCUUUUGACAGCAGAAGAGCUUUGGGGAGAGGGCUCCAGAUGUCAAUGGGAGGCCUAGAGGAUGCCAGCCCGCCCAGGAUGGGUGUACACUUUCAUUUAGAGUGAAAGUCUUUCUUCCUUUUUCUUUAAUAGUAUUCCUGUCCCUCAGGCACAGGUUAAGCAGAUCUUUCUUUCCCCACCUUGCUUUUGGGGGUGCCAAACCUCUCUGCCUUCUGAGGUAGUUGAGUUGUCACUUUUUGUGAGUUUGUAUUAUGUCUGAUUGUAUUUCCAAAAGGGGAUUUUGCAAGUAACACAGGAGCAGUAUGCACCAUGAGAUCUCCAGAAGGAAGAAAACUAAAUCCCAUUGCUGUAGCUUGGAAGGGACCAGGCUAAGGGAAAGAUGCUCUCUCUGCUUGGUGUAUUGCCAAUGCAGUGUGUGUGGAGCCCAGCAUGCACUGAGGUGUCAUUCAUGUGUCAUUUAAAAUGGUCUAGAAAAAGCUUAAGGAAUGUUUGUUUUCCACUCAAAAGUUGUGGUCACAACUAAAUGAAAUAAUCAGAGAAUUUGAAACAAUGAUCUUUUUCCUGAAAUGAGGAUAACAAUCCUAGUCAGUGGAAAAUUAGGAUUCUGAAGAAACCUUUUUCUUUUGGUAUGAUUAAUUGCACAAGAUAGUGCGAUCAGUCAGGGAGGUAUGUAGUAAGACUCCCAAGCUGCAGCAAUGGUUUAGAGGUAUGAAAAGGCCCAAGAAUUUUUUGGGCCAUUUGCAGUUCCUGGGGAUCUGUUUGCUGGGUUUUUAUUUUUGUUUUUCAUUCCCUUCUCCUAAAUUUUAAUAUCAAAAUCAUAGGUUCAUUUUUUUCAAUACAAAUGAAAACCACUGGUGGCAGCUUUUUAAGUUUUCAGUUUGUCUCUUUAAAAGGGGAGUUUAUAUUUAAAUAGAUUAUUUAAUGGGCACACUGAAUUUUUUCCCCUGCACAACAGCUGCAGUGCAGAGAUGGAAUCUUAUGUUAAAACUGCUUGAUAAU